CUCGUAGGCGGUUCGUCGCGUCCGGUGUGAAAGUCCAUCGCUUAACGGUGGAUCUGCGCCGGGUACGGGCGGGCUGGAGUGCGGUAGGGGAGACUGGAAUUCCCGGUGUAACGGUGGAAUGUAUAGAUAUCGGGGAGAACACCAAUGGCGAAGGCAGGUCUCUGGGCCGUUACUGACGCUGAGGAGCGAAAGCGUGGGGAGCGAACA
rnacentral:rRNA from 1 species